UACGUAGGUGGCGAGCGUUGUCCGGAAUUACUGGGUGUAAAGGGCGUGUAGGCGGGACUGCAAGUCAGAUGUGAAAUACCGGGGCUCAACCCCGGGGCUGCAUUUGAAACUGUAGUUCUUGAGUGCAGGAGAGGAAAGCGGAAUUCCUAGUGUAGCGGUGAAAUGCGUAGAUAUUAGGAGGAACACCAGUGGCGAAGGCGGCUUUCUGGACUGUAACUGACGCUGAGGCGCGAAAGCGUGGGGAGCAAACAGG
rnacentral:rRNA from 1 species